rnacentral:rRNA from 1 species
AGGAUCAUUAUCGAAACCCGAACGUCCGAGAGGGGGAAACCCCCCUUCCGGGCUUUCGAACCCUUUCAACACCCUUGUGCACUCGCUGUAGGUCCCUCGGGAUCUACGUCUCCCUUCGAACUCGCAUGUCUACAGAAUGUAUGCCUCGUGUCUCGGCCUCGACCCCCAGGGUCCCGCGUCGAAGACCGUGAAAUCAAUACAACUUUCAGCAACGGAUCUCUUGGCUCUCGCAUCGAUGAAGAACGCAGCGAAUCGCGAUAAGUAAUGUGAAUUGCAGAAUUCAGUGAAUCAUCGAAUCUUUGAACGCAUAUUGCGCUCUUUGGUAUUCCGAAGAGCAUGCUUGUUUGAGUAUCAGUAAACACCUCAACCUCCUCUUGUUUUUUUCAAAAGGAGGGUGGACUUGAGCUAUCCCAACAACCUUCACCGGUAGGCGGGCGGCUUGAAAUGCAGGUGCAGCUGGACUUUUAUCUGAGCUAAAAGCAUAUCUAUUUAGUCCUCGUCAAACAGGAUUAUUACUUUUGCUGCAGCUAACAUAAAGGAUAAUUGUCCUCUUUGCUGACUGAUGCAGGAUUUUACGACACUUUAUGUGUUGUUCAACUCGAUCUCAAAUCAAGUAAGACUACCCGCUGAACUUAA